rnacentral:rRNA from 1 species
AGAGUUUGAUCAUGGCUCAGGACGAACGCUGGCGGCGUGCUUAAUACAUGCAAGUCAAGGAGAACAUUUCCUUCGGGAAAUUAUUAAACUGGCGAACGGGUGAGUAACGCGUAGGUAACCUGCCCUAGAGAUUGGGAUAACACCGGGAAACCGGUGCUAAUACCGGAUAAUGCAGCGGAUCCUUCGGGAUACAGUUGUUAAAGCGGGCUUCGGCUCGCACUUUAGGAUGGGCCUGCGUCCGAUUAGCUUGUUGGUAAGGUAACGGCUUACCAAGGCAAUGAUCGGUAGCUGGUCUGAGAGGAUGAUCAGCCACACUGGGAUUGAGAUACGGCCCAGACUCCUACGGGAGGCAGCAGUAGGGAAUUUUGCGCAAUGGGGGAAACCCUGACGCAGCAACGCCGCGUGACCGAUGAAGCUUCUAGGAGCGUAAAGGUCUGUCGUAAGGGAAGAAAAGUUUGGAUGUGAAUAAUAUUUGAACCUGACGGUACCUUACAAGAAAGCACCGGCUAACUUCGUGCCAGCAGCCGCGGUAAUACGAGGGGUGCAAGCGUUGUCCGGAAUCACUGGGCGUAAAGGGUCCGUAGGCGUCCCAACAAGUCAUUUGUUAAAUCCACCGGCUUAACCGGUGACCUGCAUUUGAAACUUUUGGGAUAGAGUAUAGGAGAGGAAAGUGGAAUUCCUGGUGUAGCGGUGACAUGCGUAGAUAUCAGGAGGAACACCAAUGGCGAAGGCAGCUUUCUGGCCUAUUACUGACGCUGAGGGACGAAAGCGUGGGGAGCGAACAGGAUUAGAUACCCUGGUAGUCCACGCCGUAAACGAUGAGUACUUGGUGUCGGGGGAUUCGACCCCUUCGGUACCGGGAGCUAACGCAUUAAGUACUCCGCC